rnacentral:tRNA from 1 species
UGGCUCAGAGGUUAAGAGCACUGGCUGCCUAUUCCAGAGGUCCUGGGUUCAAAUCCCAG